AUUGAACGCUGGCGGCAGGCCUAACACAUGCAAGUCGGACGGUAGCACAGAGGAGCUUGCUCCUUGGGUGACGAGUGGCGGACGGGUGAGUAAUGUCUGGGGAUCUGCCCGAUAGAGGGGGAUAACCACUGGAAACGGUGGCUAAUACCGCAUAACGUCGCAAGACCAAAGAGGGGGACCUUCGGGCCUCUCACUAUCGGAUGAACCCAGAUGGGAUUAGCUAGUAGGCGGGGUAAUGGCCCACCUAGGCGACGAUCCCUAGCUGGUCUGAGAGGAUGACCAGCCACACUGGAACUGAGACACGGUCCAGACUCCUACGGGAGGCAGCAGUGGGGAAUAUUGCACAAUGGGCGCAAGCCUGAUGCAGCCAUGCCGCGUGUAUGAAGAAGGCCUUCGGGUUGUAAAGUACUUUCAGCGGGGAGGAAGGCGAUGCGGUUAAUAACCGCAUCGAUUGACGUUACCCGCAGAAGAAGCACCGGCUAACUCCGUGCCAGCCGCUGCGGUAA
rnacentral:rRNA from 1 species